rnacentral:rRNA from 1 species
UACAGAGGGGGCAAGCGUUAUUCGGAAUUAUUGGGCGUAAAGCGCGUGUAGGCGGCCUGCCAAGUCUGCUGUGAAAGCGCCUGGCUUAACCGGGCGAGGUCGGUGGAAACCAUCUGGCUAGAGUCCGGAAGAGGAGAGUGGAAUUCCUGGUGUAGCGGUGAAAUGCGCAGAUAUCAGGAAGAACACCCGUGGCGAAGGCGGCUCUCUGGGACGGUACUGACGCUGAGACGCGAAAGCGUGGGGAGCGAACAGG